rnacentral:sRNA from 1 species
UUGCACCUUCUUUCGAUCCUCUCUGCGC